rnacentral:rRNA from 1 species
GGUUGCGAUCAUACCAGCACUAAUGCACCGGAUCCCAUCAGGACUCCGCAGUUAAACGUGCUUGGGCGAGAGUAGUACUAGGAUGGGUGACCCCCUGGGAAGUCCUCGUGUUGCAACCC